rnacentral:rRNA from 1 species
UACGUAGGGUGCGAGCGUUAAUCGGAAUUACUGGGCGUAAAGCGUGCGCAGGCGGUUGUGCAAGACAGAUGUGAAAUCCCCGGGCUUAACCUGGGAACUGCGUCUGAUACUGGAAGGCUUGAGUAUGGGAGAGGGAUGUAGAAUUCCAGGUGUAGCGGUGAAAUGACGUAGAUAUCUGGAGGAAUACCGGUGGCGAAGGCGGCAUCCUGGACCAUUACUGACGGCUGAGG